GGGCUCGUAGCUCAGCUGGUCAGAGCGCACCCCUGAUAAGGGUGAGGUCCGAGGUUCGAAUCCUCGCGGGCCCA
rnacentral:tRNA from 1 species